UGAUGAGAACAAGAAUCAGAAAAGCCUACUUUGGCUGCUGAGGACGCAGAAUCCAAAGAAAUGGAAUCCAAAGGAAGAAUCCAAAGAAAUGUUGGCACACGGAGCUCAUGACCCACUUCUGAACUGAGCAGGAGCUGCACACAUCCCCAAACUCACACGUAGACCUACCUACCCACAGUGAAAAGGCGAACACACCAGAUCACCUUAAGUCGUCAUCGAUCUUGACAGCAAGUGUUCCUGGACGCAGGGAGCUCUAGGGCUCCAUGGGCACGGCCUAAGACUGUUCCGAUCCAAGCACACAGCACAAGGGGAGACUCUAACAAGCUUCCAAGAGUGCUCUGCUAUCGGCAUUUUUCCGAGAAAUAGACUGAGGUUCUCCUCCCUGGUGCAAAGAGACAAGGACAGCAGCAUGGGGUUGCUCCGUGUGGAAAUCCACAGACCAGGCCAGGCUGGAAAGUGUGGAUGACACUCAGAAGAGAGGCAGCUUUAGAAAGGAUGGUGGCCGUGAGAAGUCCCCGUAAGGAUUAACACGAUGGGAAUUGUUCACCUUUCCCUUUAAAAACGUUCCAUAUUAACAAAUUCUCAGCUCUAAAUCCUUUGGAAAUGUCUUGAAAGGAA
rnacentral:lncRNA from 12 species